GAACAGAAGAAUGUGAUAUGGAAGGAAUAGCAAGUGAUGAUGAUGGUUUGGCACGAAGGAUCAGAUGCCUCUGUUCCUCAAAAAACUGCUCAAUGCAAUAUAAUAAUAAUAAUUGUGGGGGUGAUGGGCGAGGAGGACCAAGAAUGGCAGACACAGGCGUCACUGUUUGGAGAAUGAUGAGCAAGUACGAGGGGCAUGCUCAAGCUCAUCAUAUCACUCACUGUGAAAUAAUGCUUUCACUGUUUUCCUGCCUUCUGCGUCAAGUGUUAUCAAGUAUUUGAUCUAAAGUCUGGGGAAAAAAGGGCUUACUUACGAAAAUAUUGAAUCUUUUCCUUAGAAAGCUGCUAGGAAUAGUCUCUAGACAAUAUAAGGAUAUAACAUUUAUAAGAGGACUAGUCCUUUUGAUUGCAGUUCUCUUAAUUCUUAACUGCGUAGACUGUCGUAAAUUUAAACAAGUUUGGUUAAAACUUGUGAAGCUUGCCAAACUUAACUCUCUUUUUUCUUUCACUUUACAGGAUUGGAAUUUGUCGUAUGCAAAGAAUGAAACCAGGAGCCCAUGCACAGGAAAUUUUGCAAUCAAGAUCGGUUGGCUCUAGUUUGCUAGAACAUUUAAAAGACCAGACAUAGCCUCUUGCAUUAUGAAGACAACUCUCUAGAGAGAGAUAUAGCUUUUAUCAUCGCAAAAACUAUUUAUCAAUGAUCUCAAGUUUGAAGUGAUGACAGACAUUUUGGUUUCAAGACAAAGACAUACAUUUUGGGGGUGACUCCCACCUCAAUCUUGUUAGGGAUCUUAUGCUUUCUGAUAUCACGUAGUUUUCUUGUUUAUUGCACGGUUGUGACCUUCUAUUCAAAAAGAAAAGUAGCAACACAUACAAAAGGUGCGAGAGCUUGGGAAGGAUGGUGGAAAGUGGGAAGUAGAGCCAAGUGAAGGGUUGAUUAAUAACGAUGCGGGAUACCCCACAAAGGGACAAAGUGGGAAACCUUGACAGUGUUUUACGUUGUUAACAUCUUCAGAGUUUCUGUGAUCCAAUACAUGCAUUGCUUUCAAUUUAAAUGAACUAUUCCUUGCUAUGCCAUUACCGUGUUUGACCAAACCGUUUGGGCAGCCCAAGUCUCUGGUUGAGAUAUGAGAACCCGCUCAUUUGUUGUCGGUACCAAAAAAAUAAUGUCAUGCUGCUGACUGUGGCGCUUCAA